AUCCUUCGGUUCAUGAGCAUAAUGACUGGGUAUUCAUGCCAUACUCAUUAGAUGUGCCUCCCUCAAACCUUAUUACAACAUGGGCAUAUCACUUGUCUGAUG